rnacentral:rRNA from 1 species
UACGGAGGAUGCAAGCGUUAUCCGGAAUUAUUGGGCGUAAAGCGUCCGUAGGUGGCUUUACAAGUCAGCUGUUAAAGCGUGGAGCUUAACUCCAUAAAGGCAGUUGAAACUGUGAGGCUAGAGUGCGGUAGGGGUAGUGGAAUUCCCGGUGUAGUGGUGAAAUGCGUAGAUAUCGGGAGGAACACCAGUGGCGAAGGCGACUACCUGGCCUGUUCUUGACGCUGAGGCGCGAAAGCUAGGGGAGCAAACGGG